AAAUUCCGUCGGAAUCUGGGAGGACCAUCUCCUAAGGCUAAAUACUCUCUAGUGACCGAUAGUGAACCAGUACCGUGAGGGAAAGGUGAAAAGCACCCCGGAAGGGGAGUGAAAUAGAACCUGAAACCGUGUGCUUACAAGUAGUCAGAGCCCGUUAAUGGGUGAUGGCGUGCCUUUUGUAGAAUGAACCGGCGAGUUACGAUUUGAUGCAAGGUUAAGCAGUAAAUGUGGAGCCGUAGCGAAAGCGAGUCUGAAUAGGGCGUUUAGUAUUUGGUCGUAGACCCGAAACCAGGUGAUCUACCCUUGGUCAGGUUGAAGUUCAGGUAACACUGAAUGGAGGACCGAACCGACUUACGUUGAAAAGUGAGCGGAUGAACUGAGGGUAGCGGAGAAAUUCCAAUCGAACCUGGAGAUAGCUGGUUCUCUCCGAAAUAGCUUUAGGGCUAGCCUCAAGUGAUGAUUAUUGGAGGUAGAGCACUGUUUGGACGAGGGGCCCCUCUCGGGUUACCGAAUUCAGACAAACUCCGAAUGCCAAUUAAUUUAACUUGGGAGUCAGAACAUGGGUGAUAAGGUCCGUGUUCGAAAGGGAAACAGCCCAGACCACCAGCUAAGGUCCCAAAAUAUAUGUUAAGUGGAAAAGGAUGUGGCGUUGCCCAGACAACUAGGAUGUUGGCUUAGAAGCAGCCAUCAUUUAAAGAGUGCGUAAUAGCUCACUAGUCGAGUGACACUGCGCCGAAAAUGUACCGGGGCUAAACAUAUUACCGAAGCUGUGGAUUGUCCUUUGGACAAUGGUAGGAGAGCGUUCUAAGGGCGUUGAAGCAUGAUCGUAAGGACAUGUGGAGCGCUUAGAAGUGAGAAUGCCGGUGUGAGUAGCGAAAGACGGGUGAGAAUCCCGUCCACCGAUUGACUAAGGUUUCCAGAGGAAGGCUCGUCCGCUCUGGGUUAGUCGGGUCCUAAGCUGAGGCCGACAGGCGUAGGCGAUGGAUAACAGGUUGAUAUUCCUGUACCACCUAUAAUCGUUUUAAUCGAUGGGGGGACGCAGUAGGAUAGGCGAAGCGUGCGAUUGGAUUGCACGUCUAAGCAGUAAGGCUGAGUAUUAGGCA
rnacentral:rRNA from 1 species